AUUGAACGCUGGCGGCAGGCCUAACACAUGCAAGUCGAACGAAUGGCGGACGGGUGAGUAAUGUCUGGGAAACUGCCUGAUGGAGGGGGAUAACUACUGGAAACGGUAGCUAAUACCGCAUACCAUCAGAUGUUCCCAGAUGGGAGUAGCUAGUUGGUGGGGUAACGGCUCACCAAGGCGACGAUCACUAGCUGGUCUGAGAGGAUGACCAGCCACACUGGACCUGAGGCACGGUCCAGACUCCUACGGGAGGAAACAGUGGGGAAUAUGGCACAAUGGGCGCAAGCCGGAUACAGCCAUGCCGCGUGUAUGAAGAAGGCCUUCGGGUUGUAAAGUACUUUCAGCGGUGAGGCGUUACCCGCAGAAGAGGCACCGGCUAACUCCGUGCCAGCAUCCGCGGUAAUAC
rnacentral:rRNA from 1 species